rnacentral:ncRNA from 1 species
ACCCCCGUGAGGAUGCCUUUCCCUGCCCCCCCCGGCAAAAAGGAGCUGGUAUCAGGCACGACAGUUAGUCAGCCCACGACACCUUGCUUAGCCACGCCCCCAAGGGUCUUCAGCAGUAAUAAACCUUAAGCAAUAAGUGAAAACUUGACUUAGUUAGUAUCAAGCAGGGCCGGUCAAACUCGUGCCAGCCGCCGCGGUUAUACGAGUAGGCCCAAGUGGAUAGAAUUCGGCGUAAAGAGUGGUUAAUAGAACAACAAACUAAAGCCGAACGCCCUCAGAGCAGUUAUACGCUUACGAACGGACGAAGCCCCACAACGAAAGUGGCUUUAAACACUAUUGAACCCACGAAAGCUAGGAAACAAACUGGGAUUAGAUACCCCACUAUGCCUAGCCCUAAACACAAAUGCCCUUGUACUACAAACAUUCGCCGGGGAACUACGGGCGCGAGCUUAAAACCCAAAGGAUUUGGCGGUGCUUUAGACCCCCCUAGAGGAGCCUGUCAUAGAACCGAUACUCCCCGUUAAACCUCACCCUCUCUUGUUCUUCCCGCCUAUAUACCGCCGUCGUCAGCUUACCUUUUGAAAGACCAGUAGUAAGCGCAAUUGGCACAGCCCAAAACGUCAGGUCGAGGUGUAGCGUAUGAGAGGGGAAGAGAUGGGCUACAUUUACUGCCUCAGUACACACGGAAGAUGACCUGAAAUUCCAUCUGAAGGAGGAUUUAGCAGUAAGGGGGAAAUAGAGUGUCCCCCUGAAGACGGCCCUGAAGCGUGCACAUACCGCCCGUCAUUCUCCCCGAUACCCUGAAAAAGCAAUACAUAAUAAGACAGUCACUAAAAGAGGGGAGGCAAGUCGUAACAUGGUAAGUGUACCGGAAGGUGCACUUGGAUCAACCCU